rnacentral:rRNA from 1 species
UANUACAUGCAAGUCGAGCGAAUGGAUUAAGAGCUUGCUCUUAUGAAGUUAGCGGCGGACGGGUGAGUAACACGUGGGUAACCUACCCAUAAGACUGGGAUAACUCCGGGAAACCGGGGCUAAUACCGGAUAAUAUUUUGAACUGCAUAGUUCGAAAUUGAAAGGCGGCUUCGGCUGUCACUUAUGGAUGGACCCGCGUCGCAUUAGCUAGUUGGUGAGGUAACGGCUCACCAAGGCGACGAUGCGUAGCCGACCUGAGAGGGUGAUCGGCCACACUGGGACUGAGACACGGCCCAGACUCCUACGGGAGGCAGCAGUAGGGAAUCUUCCGCAAUGGACGAAAGUCUGACGGAGCAACGCCGCGUGAGUGAUGAAGGCUUUCGGGUCGUAAAACUCUGUUGUUAGGGAAGAACAAGUGCUAGUUGAAUAAGCUGGCACCUUGACGGUACCUAACCAGAAAGCCACGGCUAACUACGUGCCAGCAGCCGCGGUAAUACGUAGGUGGCAAGCGUUAUCCGGAAUUAUUGGGCGUAAAGCGCGCGCAGGUGGUUUCUUAAGUCUGAUGUGAAAGCCCACGGCUCAACCGUGGAGGGUCAUUGGAAACUGGGAGACUUGAGUGCAGAAGAGGAAAGUGGAAUUCCAUGUGUAGCGGUGAAAUGCGUAGAGAUAUGGAGGAACACCAGUGGCGAAGGCGACUUUCUGGUCUGUAACUGACACUGAGGCGCGAAAGCGUGGGGAGCAA